GCCGGGCGUUGGUUGUCCCGGUGAGAGAGUUGAGGCGGUGCCCUUAGGCAAAUCCGGGGGCGCAACGUUGAGACUAAGGACCGGCCCAUUAGGGCUAGGCUGCUGAUAUCACGCUUCCAGGAAAAGCUCCUAAGCUUCAGCUUGAACAGACCGUACCGUAAACCGACACAGGUGGGUAGGAUGAGAAUUCUCAGGCGCUUGAGAGAACUCGGGUGAAGGAACUAGGCAAAAUAGCACCGUAACUUCGGGA
rnacentral:rRNA from 1 species